CUCGCGCUCACGACACUGCAGGCGGGACAGGAAACUUUCCAGCUGCCGUUCUGGAUUCUGCAACGAUUCUCAUCAUCGUUAGAAGCCCUUCAGCCUCUCCUUUGUGUUGUCGCCGUCAGACAAACACAGUCGGUCUUCGGUAAGUCCCUCCCGGACGGUGACAAUGAAAGAGUUGGUUUUCUGGAGUGAAGAGGAGACUACCCCAGCCCAGCCAGGCGUGUGCUAAUCAGCCGCAGGCAUGCGCAUCAGAUACCAGCCCAGGGGGCGAGAUGUAGUCACGUCUUCAUUUCCCGUGAAGUCCGACCAACUCUUUAUGCUUCCAGGCUGGUGGGAGCUGGACCUCAGGCAGGUGUGGAGUCUCCUCCUCCAGGAUGCCAUCACCGUGGGACGUUCGCGGUGGGAGGUUCGUGUGAUGGGAGGACCUCCGAGCUGACAUCCAUCCUCUGCUGCUGGCGUCCUCACUGGCUUAGCUGGUGGUGGCCUGGUGAACCCAGGAGCUCUCCGCCCUCAGGCGCCAAGCGGGAAACAGGAACUGUAGCCAGGCUGAGAGCCACAGCACCUGGGGACCCGCCCUCUCUGGCCUCUCCCUCCUCUGGGUCUCUUCUUUCUACUCCCCACCCGCCCCUGUCUCUCCCUGGUCACCCACAAGGC
rnacentral:lncRNA from 1 species